ensembl:rRNA 5S_rRNA 5S ribosomal RNA
UUCUAUGGCCAUACCACCCUGAGUGCGCCUGAUCUCACCUGAUCUUGGAAGCUAAGCAGGGUCGGUCCUGGUUAGUACUUGGAUGGGAGACUGACUGGGAAUACCGGGUGCUGUAGGCU